rnacentral:rRNA from 1 species
AUUGAACGCUGGCGGCAGGCCUAACACAUGCAAGUCGAACGAGUGGCGGACGGGUGAGUAAUGUCUGGGAAACUGCCUGAUGGAGGGGGAUAACUACUGGAAACGGUAGCUAAUACCGCAUACCAUCAGAUGUGCCCAGAUGGGAUUAGCUUGUUGGUGGGGUAACGGCUCACCAAGGCGACGAUCCCUAGCUGGUCUGAGAGGAUGACCGGCCACACUGUGACUGAGACACGGUCCAGAAUCCUACGGGAGGAAGCAGGGGGGAAUAUUGCACAAUGGGAGCAAGCCUGAUGCAGCCAUGCCGCGGGUAUGAAGAAGGCGUUCGGGUUGUAAAGUACUUUCAGCAGGGAGGCGUUACCCGCAGAAGAAGCACCGGCUAACACCGUGCCAGCAGCCGCGGGAAUUC